rnacentral:rRNA from 1 species
GAUGAACGCUGGCGGCGUGCCUAAUACAUGCAAGUCGAGCGAACAGACGAGGAGCUUGCUCCUCUGACGUUAGCGGCGGACGGGUGAGUAACACGUGGAUAACCUACCUAUAAGACUGGGAUAACUUCGGGAAACCGGAGCUAAUACCGGAUAAUAUAUUGAACCGCAUGGUUCAAUAGUGAAAGACGGUUUUGCUGUCACUUAUAGAUGGAUCCGCGCCGCAUUAGCUAGUUGGUAAGGUAACGGCUUACCAAGGCAACGAUGCGUAGCCGACCUGAGAGGGUGAUCGGCCACACUGGAACUGAGACACGGUCCAGACUCCUACGGGAGGCAGCAGUAGGGAAUCUUCCGCAAUGGGCGAAAGCCUGACGGAGCAACGCCGCGUGAGUGAUGAAGGUCUUCGGAUCGUAAAACUCUGUUAUUAGGGAAGAACAAAUGUGUAAGUAACUAUGCACGUCUUGACGGUACCUAGUCAGAAAGCCACGGCUAACUACGU